UACGGAGGAUGCAAGCGUUAUCCGGAAUGAUUGGGCGUGAAGCGUCCGUAGGUGGCUGUGUAAGUCUGCUGUCAAAGAGCGAAGCUCAACUUCGUAAAGGCAGUGGAAACUACACGGCUAGAGUGCGUUCGGGGCAGAGGGAAUUCCUGGUGUAGCGGUGAAAUGCGUAGAGAUCAGGAAGAACACCGGUGGCGAAGGCGCUCUGCUAGGCCGCAACUGACACUGAGGGACGAAAGCUAGGGGAGCGAAUGGG
rnacentral:rRNA from 1 species